CAACGCCGCGUGCGGGUAAGAAAGCCUUCGGGGUGUAAACCGCUGUUCAGGAGGACGAGCCACUCGGGUGAACAGCCUAGAGGGUGACGGUACCUCCAGGGUAAGCCCCGGCUAACUACGUGCCAGCAGCCGCGGUAAUACGUAGGGGGCUAGCGUUGUCCGGAAUUAUUGGGCGUAAAGCGCGUGUAGGCGGCUUGGCAAGUCCGAUGUGAAAGCUCGGGGCUCAACCCCGAGUCCUGCAUUGGAAACUGCCUUGCUUGA
rnacentral:rRNA from 1 species